rnacentral:misc_RNA from 2 species
AAUUCUCAAAGCAAGGUUCACUUGUGGACCUUUGCUUUGGACUUGAAGAUUGCUGGCUUUUCAAUAGGUUAGCUUCUUUGAAAUAUAUUAGUAAGGUGGUAUCUUUCACUUGGUGUGAUAAGUUAUCUAUGCCUUGGAGAUAGAUACGGACUUGCUUAUAACCCUUACCUUUUUGAC